rnacentral:lncRNA from 1 species
UAUCAGACCCUAGAUGUGUCCUCAUUCAUAUGUUGUAAUUUAAAAUUGAUCUUUGUAUUGUUCUCUCCAGGUGUGAAGAAACAUCACCAGUAGAGAUCCAGGACACAUGUUUUACUUCUUUGAAUUCUCUCAGGAAGAGAAGAGCCGGAAAGACCCACAUUAAGAGAGAGCUCUCUGAAGACCCAAGAGAUGACUCCGUUGCGUGGAGAACUAUCAUUUGAAUCAGCAAUCAGCUCAGGUGAAGCAUUCUUUGGAUGAUCAAAUCAGAACUAAGUCUUUGCGUUACAAAAUGUUUCUAGAAGAAAUAUCAGUACAAGAAUUGCACAUUAGGACUUCAAGUCUUUGGCUCUGAGUUCAUACAUAAUAAUUAUGACAAAUGGAAACAAACCUAAGCUGUUGAACACACUGGUGAAAUUUCUGAGCUCUGUGAAUUAUUUUUUAUUAUUACUGUAUGUGUAAG